rnacentral:rRNA from 1 species
CUUGCAAUCAGUUUUUUCUUGAUUUACACAUGCAAGUAUCCGCACCCCUGUGAAAACGCCCUUAAAUUCCCCCUUAGGAAUAAGGAGCUGGUAUCAGGCACAUUUUACUGCCCAAGACACCUAGCUACGCCACACCCACAAGGGACUUCAGCAGUGAUUAACUUUGAUUAUCAGCGACAGCUUGAUUCAGUUAAAGAAAACAGAGCCGGCUAAUCUGGUGCCAGCCGCCGCGGUUACACCACGUGGCUCAAAUUGACUUCUACCGGCGUAAAGAGUGAUUUAAGAACCUAAUAAAUUGAUGUCAAAUUUUAACUAAGCUGUGACACGCUUGUCCCUUAGAAGCACUAAGACGAAAGUUACACCAACUAAACCAACUUGA